rnacentral:rRNA from 1 species
CCUACGGGUGGCAGCAGUAGGGAAUAUUGCUCAAUGGGGGAAACCCUGAAGCAGCAACGCCGCGUGGAGGAUGAAGGUUUUCUGAUUGUAAACUCCUUUUGUUAGAGAAGAUAAUGACGGUAUCUACCGACUAAGCCCCGGCUAACUCCGUUCCAGCCGCCGCGGUAAUACGGAGGGUGCAAGCGUUACUCGGAAUCACUGGGCGUAACGAGCGCGUAGGCGGGAUAGCAAGGCAGAUGUGAAAUCCUAUGGCUUAACCAUAGAACUGCAGUUGAAACUGUUAUUCUAGAGUAUGGGAGAGGUAGGUGGAAUUCGUGGUGUAGGGGUAAAAUCCGUAGAGAUCAAGAGGAAUACUCAUUGCGAAGGCGACCUGCUAGAACAUAACUGACGCUGAUGCGCGAAAGCGUGGGGAGCAAACAGGAUUAGAUACCCCUGUAGUC